rnacentral:lncRNA from 1 species
CAGGAAUUGAACUCAGGACCUUGCAAUUGCCAUGAAGGUGCUUGUGCCACUGAGCUAUAUCCCCACCCAGGCUGAAGUAGAAUUUGAGAUCUGAGGUGUUUUUAUGUUUUGAAAACUAGUUUCUUCUAAUAGAGCUGACUGCGAGGUCUCUGAAGUAAGGGGAUUCACAACGGAGUUCUUACAAGAGGUCCUUGAACCAUCUGGAUGGUGGGCAGUCUGGCCCACUAAUGUGCUUGAGGUACUGGUUGAGAUUUUGUAUAUUCUUCCAUAACUUGCUGAGUGUCAAGAGGUCAUACAGAGAGGUA